CAUCACUCUGCAGAAGUCCUGGAUCAUCUCUGCUGGAAUCCAUGAAAUAGGAGGAAUUAUGAGAAACUGUGCAGUUUAUAAGUCUUCAUAUUGCAUUGGUCACCUCAAUGAAACUCUCAAAAACUUGAAAUUUUUCCUAUUUGACAAGUGGAAAAAUGAAAUUCAUAGAAGCUGAGUAAGUCUCUGAAGUUUCUCUAGCCAAUAAAUGGCAGAACUAGGUUUUAGUUCCAGACUUGAGUGUUUACAAAACCCAGGCUCAUUAAAAAAAAAAAAAAGUCAUAAUAUUUUGUGGAACUUAUCAUCUACUGUAGUCUGAAGAGAAAGGAGAAGAAGCCAUAGUUUGCCAUAGUGUUCCAACUUCCCAGUAGAAUCAACUUAAUGCUAAUUCUGGUAUAACUGAACAGCUGAAUCAGCUUGAUUUACUCCUUUGUGAAUGGUUAUUUUCUUUAGAUAUAUGAUAUAUGCAAGUGUAGAAACUAAUACAAAAUGAUGAUGAUGCUAUGCUAGCAUCAUCCUCGAGAGAGAAUUUUUUCCAGGAUUUGUAAAUUGAAUCUUAAUGUUAAAAAGACAUAUAUAUUCACUGUGAAUAUGAUGAUUCCAAAAAGUAUAUAAACACAGUCAUUAUUUAACAACUAAACAUUUAUAUAUUGAUAAUAAAUGAAGUACCACUUGAAGGAAGUUUUGGAAGAUAGGGAUAUAUAAGCACUGAUCCGUAAAAAUGGAAAAUCAACUAAAAUAUGCCCUAUAACUAAAGUCCUAUCAUACUACGAAAUGGAUAUAUGGUGUCUGAACUACACAAGGAGUAAUCAUUUAUUGAUUGAGUGGCUCAUAUUCUAUUGCGACAUGAGGUGAUUAAAUAGAUCUUCAGCUACUUAUGUUUGAAGAUAUUUAGUAAGUCAAAAAAGGGGUGUCAUGUGCUGAACAUAUGAAGACUCCUGUCUAGGAAUGGUUUUUGAAGAUUUUUUUCCCUAUCAUAUUGGACAUCAGCAUAACACCAGUAAUACAGUCAAAUGGAGGAAGCACUAAUAUAGAAUGGCUGUGGAUUAUCAAUAAUUAUCAAGGGUCUGAGCGGCUGGCUCAGCUCACUAGGAUAUAGAGAAGAUGCACAAUACUGAAUUUUCUCCUUCAGGUGGGAGAGAAAGAGGUUGGGCUUACAUCUAACAUUCUAGUUCCCUUUCCCCAAGGGAAAGGGCCAGGUAGCUCUUAGCACCAAGCAUCGCUCCGUGGAUUUGGAGAAAAGGUAUACUCCUGACUUAUCCCUUAGAAGGAAGGGACAGGUGUGGAAUAUGCAUGUUCUUAUAAAAUCAAGAGGUUUCUAGAAUCCCUAGUGAGGCUAAUAGGUCUGGAAGAGGUGGCUGCUUCUUUCAAAUGCACAGACACUAACACAUAGCUACAAGAAACACGAAGAAUCAUGGAAAUAUGAUCCUAGCGAAGGAAAAAAAAUAAAUCAAUCAUUAUUAACUCUAAAGAAAUGGAGACCUAUAAGCUGCCUGACAAAGAAUUCACAAUAAUUAUAUUAAUGAAGCUCAACAAGCUAAAAGAAAGCACAGAAGACUAAACAAAAUCAGGAAACUCAUACAUGAAUGAAAUGAGAAUAUCAAUGAGGAGUUAGAAACUAUUAAAAAGUACCAAACAGAAUUAAAAUGCUAAGGAGGAUAACGACUAAACUGAAAAUAAAGCAAAACAAAAACAUCAAUAAAGAGCUUGACUUGGUCAAGCAGGAGAAAGGAUCUGUGAACUUAAAGACGUAUUUUAUAUCAUCUAGUCGGAGGAACAGAAAGAAAAAGGAGCAAAGUAAAACACCUAAGUUAGAGAAAUAGAGGACAGCGACAUUACACAACCAUAGCUGGCACGUCGAAAACUGUAUUACUGGAGAACCCAUCUUUCCAUGAAAUGUUAGUAAGUGAAUACUUGUUACCAAGUAGGAAAUAGGAGCCAGAGGUUCCAUAUUUCCCAUAGUCCAGAGAAACUGGACUCACAAAUACAAUAUAGGAAAUGAUCCAGAUUCAGAACUGUUUCCAAACCACGAUACAUCUCGGUUACUAUGAGUUUCUAAGACAGGAGGUCCCAGGGCCGUAAGGCAUGCUCAGGAUCCCGACCUAAAAGCAGUGCACUUUUGAAAACCUAAAAGUGACAGGGCGAAAUCUAGAUGGCUCACCACUGUCGAAAACAGGACACAGAGCAGCAGUAUGAUUCCCAGACACUCUUGCAUUAGAUGGAACCACGUGGCUGAGUUUCCUUCAAUGGCUUAAGAAUGGAAAUUAUGUAUAUCUUUUCUAGGCCAAAGCUAUUAAGCAGAUAUCUCUUAAUAUCUCUUUCUCCUUGUACUACCUAGAUGCAGAUGAUGAUAGGUACUCAGAGGAUAGAAGAACCUUGAAAUAAGGAGAAAAAAUUCUGAGUCCUUAAGUCCCUUAGAGGAAAACUUCCCCCACCUAGUAGGAACUCCUUUUAAUUUUAUGAUCCUUGGGAAUAAGCUUUUGCAUUAUUUGAGUCAUUAUAUGUAUAUAUUUGGGGGCAUAUAAGUUAUAGCAAUUGAUGUUAUUCUUCCUAAUAAAAAUUUAAUUUUAAACUGAGCUGUUGCCAAAUAUAAUAUUCAUGACGUUAGCUCAGCAGUUUAGUGGAGGACAGCAAUGCAACAGAUACAGUGAAAUGGAAAACUGGACAUCUGUGAUUUUCUAGCAAAACAGAUAAGACUCCAGAUGGGAAUCAUUUCAAAGUCCAAAAAGAUGGGGCACCUGGGUGGCUUAGUUGGUUACAUGUCUGCCUGCCUUCAGCUCAGGUCAUGAUCCUGGGUGCCUGGGAUGGGGCCCCCCACCUCACCCCUAGCCAGUCUCCCUGUUUAGCGGAGAAUCUGCUUCUCCCUCUCCUGCCUCUGCUUCUGCUUGUACUCUCUCUCUCUCUCUCUCUCUC